AUUCUACUCCCUCCGUUGCACAAUACAUGCCUUCUACUUGUCAAAAUAUAUAUGUAUCUAGACAUGUUUUAGUAUAUAGGCACAUCCAUUUUUGGACAAAUGGAAGUCAAGUAUUUUGGAACGGAGGGAGUACACA
rnacentral:pre_miRNA from 1 species